AGUCGUAACAAGGUCUCCGUUGGUGAACCAGCGGAGGGAUCAUUAUAGAGUUUUCUAAACUCCCAACCCAUGUGAACUUACCAUUGUUGCCUCGGCAGAAGCUGCUCGGCGCGCCUUACCUUGGAACGGCCUACCCUGUAGCGCCUUACCCUGGAACGGCUUACCCUGCAACGGCUGCCGGUGGACUACCAAACUCUUGUUAUUUUAUGGUUAUCUGAGCGUCUUAUUUUAAUAAGUCAAAACUUUCAACAACGGAUCUCUUGGUUCUGGCAUCGAUGAAGAACGCAGCGAAAUGCGAUAAGUAAUGUGAAUUGCAGAAUUCAGUGAAUCAUCGAAUCUUUGAACGCACAUUGCGCCCAUUAGUAUUCUAGUGGGCAUGCCUGUUCGAGCGUCAUUUCAACCCUUAAGCCUAGCUUAGUGUUGGGAGCCUACUGCUUUUGCUAGCUGUAGCUCCUGAAAUACAACGGCGGAUCUGCGAUAUCCUCUGAGCGUAGUAAUUUUUAUCUCGCUUUUGACUGGAGUUGCAGCGUCUUUAGCCGCUAAACCCCCCAAUUUUUAAUGGUUGACCUCGGAUCAGGUAGGAAUACCCGCUGAACUUAAGCAUAUCAAUAAGCGGAGGAA
rnacentral:rRNA from 1 species